rnacentral:rRNA from 1 species
GAUGAACGCUGGCGGCGUGCCUAAUACAUGCAAGUCGAGCGAACAGAGGAGCAGCUUGCUCCUCUUACGUUAGCGGCGGACGGGUAAGUCACACGUAGAUAACCUACCUAUAAGACUGGGAUAACUUCGGGAAACCGGAGCUCAUACCGGAUAAUAUAUUCAGCAGCAUGGUUCAAUAGUGAAAGCAGUCUUUGAUGUCACUUAUAGAUGGAUCCUCGCCGCAUUAGCUAGUUGGUAAGGUAACGACUUACCAAGGCAAAGAUGCGUAGCCGACCUGAGAGGGUGAUCGGCCACACUGGAACUGAGACACGGUCCAGACUCCUACGGGAGACAGCAGUAGGGAAUCUUCCGCAAUGAGCGAAAGCCUGACGGAGAAACGCCGCGUAAGUGAUGAGGGUCUUCGGCGCGUAAAACUCUGUUAUUAGGGAAGAACAAAGGUGUAAGUAACGAUGCACGUCUUGACGGAACCUAAGCAGAAAGCAACGGCUAACUACGG